GCCAUACUAGAUUUAUGGACAUGCUACUACAGUCAGACACUUCAUCCACGAUGCCCACUCAUCUAGUUAGCCCCUUGCACUCCUCAGUGAUACGUACAGCUAGAGAGAGAUAUGCAAGCACGAGUGAUGUUGUUGAUAUGAUCAUGGGAUAGGAUCAGACUAUACAACCUACUCCAGGUGAUACACAGUUAGCUCAUGUCACUCCUUCCUUGAGCUCUGAGCAUGUGCGUAGGAGAGAUUCUUUAGAUGCUGUUAGUGUACAGGACUCCCCCUCAGAUGGUCGCUCAGUUCGUAGCCGACAUGAUCCCUGUUGAUUUGCUCCAGACUUUAUAGCUCAUUUACAUUUAUCUUUUUAUAUACUUUCAUAUUAUAUAUAUUCAUGCACGUACAUGGAGUUUAGACUCUAGAUUAUACUUUAUACCUGGUUUGUGUUUGACUCUAGAUUAUACUUUAUACUUUAUACAUGGAGUUUAGACUCUAGAUUAUACUUUAUACCUGGUUUGUGUUUGA